UGCCAAUCCAGAUAAAGGAUUACAUCAUACCUACAUAUAGUCUUUAAUUAAUGAGUCAUUGGAUUAUAAUGGUUCAAGGUAAUUCCACUGCACUCAUUUUCACCAACAUUAAUUUUAGUUAAUACCUUUUUGUUUUUAUUAAUGUAACCUCUUCAAGAUUUUGCUGAACGACAUAUUUGUCACCUUUUUAAUGUUUUUAUAUUGGAGUUUCGUAGUUCUUAGUUGUUCAAACAUUAUAUUCCUUCUAUCCAUUAAGCUUUUUUUCAUUUCUUCAAGCAUUAAAUAUGAUCAUAACUAUGAAUAAGUCAAUGAUUUAUUUCAAAAUAGACUUAUGAUCCUAGUUUUGGGUCUUAUUGGUCCUUAAAAACAUA
rnacentral:lncRNA from 1 species